GGUAAAUUAUACGAAUUUGUUCUCGUGUCUUUAUAUUGAAACUCUGCACAUUGAUACCUAAAUUUACAAAGUUACACAUUCAUAAGUUUUUUAUAUAGAUUAAACCGUUGGUUUUCCAGUUUGAAUAGUUUUACACUAGUAAGUUUGGGGCCCUUUAAAGCUUUUUGUUCAGUGUGAGCCAAGGAUCCGUGUUGAAGGCCGUACAUUGACCUAUAAUGGUUUACUUUUUUUAAAUUGUUAUUUGGAUGGAGAGUUGUUGUCACUAAGUCGGGC
rnacentral:lncRNA from 1 species